rnacentral:rRNA from 1 species
UGAGGGCGUCAAAGCCCACUAUAUACACAUCUAAUUAAUUUCUUACUAAUACACUAACCCUUUUCCCCUAUUGAAUGAAUUUAUAGUUUAUAAAAGCCACUAUGUCUAAACUAGUAACAAGAAUAUGAAAUUCUCCUUAAUGUAAGCCUGAGCCGUAAUGGACUCACCAACGGCAAUUAAAGUUAAUAAGCCCAUUAUAAUAACCACCCUAAAAGCUUAUAAUAGUAAACGUUAACCUUACACAAGAACAUUCUAGGAAAGAUUAAAAGGGGGAGAAGGAACUCGGCAAAUUUUAAUCCCGCCUGUUUACCAAAAACAUCGCCUCUUGUUAAAUUAUAAGAGGUCUAGCCUGCCCAAUGACUUCUUAAAUGGCCGCGGUAUCCUAACCGUGCUAAGGUAGCACAAUAACUUGUUCUUUAAAUGAGGACUUGUAUGAAUGGCAUCACGAGGAUUACACUGUCUCCUCCCCCCAAUCAGUGAAACUGACCUCCCUGUGAAAAGGCAGGGAUUAUAUUAUAAGACGAGAAGACCCCAUGGAGCUUCAGACUUAGAGCACAUCUAAUCUCCACCCCAUAAGAAUUUUAGAUUGCUGACUUCUAGUCUUAGGUUGGGGCGACCGUGGAGUAAAACUAAACCUCCAUGCUGAACGGACAAAUCCUAAUCUAAGAGUUACAACUCUAAGAAUCAAAAAACUGACAGCUAUUGAUCCGAAACUCGAUCAACGAACCAAGUUACCCUGGGGAUAACAGCGCCAUCUACCUUAAGAGUUCAUAUCGACAGGUGGGUUUACGACCUCGAUGUUGGAUCAGGGUAUCCCUGUGGUGCAGCCGCUACA